AGUGCACCAAAAAGAAGGAAAAUGAGGCCUUUAGGGAUCCCGGACGAGCCCCAAAUGUCGUAACUCAAAAAUCAGAUAAUAACGAGGCAAGUCCAAAAGUUAAAGAAGCGCUUUAUUUUAGCUGGU